rnacentral:rRNA from 1 species
GACGAACGCUGGCGGCGUGCCUAAUACAUGCAAGUAGAACGCUGAAGGAGGAGCUUGCUUCUCUGGAUGAGUUGCGAACGGGUGAGUAACGCGUAGGUAACCUGCCUGGUAGCGGGGGAUAACUAUUGGAAACGAUAGCUAAUACCGCAUAAGAGUAGAUGUUGCAUGACAUUUGCUUAAAAGGUGCAAUUGCAUCACUACCAGAUGGACCUGCGUUGUAUUAGCUAGUUGGUGAGGUAACGGCUCACCAAGGCAACGAUACAUAGCCGACCUGAGAGGGUGAUCGGCCACACUGGGACUGAGACACGGCCCAGACUCCUACGGGAGGCAGCAGUAGGGAAUCUUCGGCAAUGGACGGAAGUCUGACCGAGCAACGCCGCGUGAGUGAAGAAGGUUUUCGGAUCGUAAAGCUCUGUUGUAAGAGAAGAACGAGUGUGAGAGUGGAAAGUUCACACUGUGACGGUAUCUUACCGGAAAGGGACGGCUAACUACGUG